UGAGAAGUAGUCCAAACCCUGUGAUAAAUGGAGAAAAAGUGAUAUUAAGCUGUUCAACUAAAUGCACUCUGGAUAACAAACAUACUUACAUCUGGUAUAAGAAUGGACAACAGGUAACAGAUGGAUUGACAUUAUUAAACAAGUUGUACCUGGACUCAAUCAACAGUGAGGAGCUACAAGAGUAUUCCUGUACUGUAAGAGAAUCAAUGGACAAAACCAAUGAAACAAUUGACAGAAACAAUGAAGAAAUGGACAAAGCCACUGAAGCAGUAGUGUACAGUUCAGUGUUUGUUCCUCUGUUGGUGUUUCUGCCUCAGUUUCUCAUUAUAGGAGCUGUAUGGAUCUGGUUUUUCAUCAGAAUGAAUAAAUUGAACUGUAAAAACAAAACUGAUGACAAAGAAAUCGAGGUGAGAAAAUCUGUAUAUCUGUAUGUUAAAUAAACUAAUGGUCAGAUUUUAUAACAUUAUCUCUUUCUAUAGGCCAGUUUAGACUGAUCCAACAACAAACUCCAACAUUAUAAAGUCUCAUUUAUUGAUCCAACAACUGCCAACACAGGUUUCACACUGACCCAACAAACACAUUUGUUGACGUUUGUUGGAUCAGUGUGAAUUGGCCUUUAGUAAUUAUCAUUGUCAGACUCCAGUGAUGUGCAUGUCUGUGUGUAGAUCAGCUGUCUGUCCAUUAGAACUGCUGGAGUGAUGUCACAACUCUCUUUAUGACAUCAUCAUCUAGCAACGGUCUCUCAGCAGUGACAUCAUUGAUGUUAUAUAGAGUGACAUAUUAAUAAUAAUUGAAUAAUUGAAUGCCCAAAUUAAGGCUGGAAAUUUAAUGCGUUAAAGGUGGGGUGCAUGAUCUCUGAAAGCCAAUGUUGACAUUUGAAAUCACCUAAACAAACACGCUCCUACACCAAUAAAAUCUGGACCUUAUAGACCCGCCCACACCUACGCAACCCAGGCAAUGAUGUUGGUUAGUAGACACGCCCCUUACUGCUGAUUGGCUACAAGUGUGUCCCUUUUCCAAAGUGUUUCAAAAAUCAUGCAACACGCCUUUAAUAAGAUUUAUUAUUAUGGGGGAAAAUAAAGUGUUUUAACGCACCCAAUCAUGUCAGCAUAGUCACAAAAGUUGAUCAUUUCAUAUGCUUUAAAAACAUGUUUAUAUAACCUCAAAUCACAUAAUUUUUUACAGUGUAUGCAGGAUUAUUUUACAUUUUGAUUAAUUAAUUUAAUUUCUGUAUACUUUAAAUUACAGUCUCCAUGUACAUACCAAUAUUUAUGUGUGAUUAAUUAGAUUAAUUAAUCAGCAUGUAAUUAAUUAUACAUAAAAAAAAUUAUCGUUUGACAGCCCUAGCUUUAAUACAUGAAUUAUUCAUUAAACAAUUUAAUUUCUCAUAACAGUCUUGUGUCAGUGUAGGUUAAACUGUAAGAAAGUCUAAAUCUUACAAAAUCAUUGUAAUAGAUCUAUAAAACAAUGAGAUGAUUGAUAGAUCAGAGUAGAAAAAUGUGUGUUUUAUUUUUAUUAUUUUUCACAUUAUUCAAUUUAUUAAUUCAAUUAUAUAUACUAACUCUUACUUAUUUUUAUUAUAUAUUCAUUCAUUUAUUUUAUCAUUCAGUUUUCUUCUUUUUAUUAUAUAUUCAGAUACAUGGCUUCAUUGAUUAUAAUACCAUCAGAUAAAAAAGUAAAAACCUGACUUGCUCUGCUAGAAAUCUUAUAAUGGGUCAAAACAAAUAUCAAAAUCAACAAAAAAAUGGGUCUGGAAAAAUUCUGUAUAGAGGAAUAAGCUAUAAUCACUUUCCAUUAAUUAUUCAACUUCAUCAGACAUUAUAAUACAAGACUCAGAGCUGUUAUCAUCACAAAUUGAGGUGUCAAUAUUUGAGUCCAGUGUGUAAUAGAAAAAAAUCAUUUAUCACUUUUAAUUGUUUUAUUUUAAUGAAACAUAUCUUUGUGAUUUUUUUAUACAUAUAUAGUUUGUAUUAUAUUCAUUUAAUUCUGUUCUUCAUUACUUUUCUCAAUGUUGUUUAAUCUUUUGUUGGCGCUUUUAGUGUGAGUCUCCAAUGACCUCCAUCUCAAAGUUUUUCCUAAUGUCAUGAGACAAUAUUUUACAUGAUAUAAUAAUGAAUCUGUGUCUAGUCAGAGGAAGACUGAGCAUUGAAGCACAACUGAGAUUAUUUAAUAAAUGAUUUUUCAUUUUAUUCAACAAUACUUCGUCUCCUGCCUGCUGUUUUUCUGCUUCAUCUCUGUGUCUGCCUCGUGAUUUAUUUGAAGUAUUAACUCACAACAGAGUUGAUAUUUCAGCACAGAUUUAGAGAGAUCUAGUGAACUGAACUGUAGUUGGAUCUAUAAGAUCUGCAAGCCUUAGUUGAAUCUCUGAAGAUUGAGCUUUAACUUUAUGAAUGUUUGAAUUCCUCAUUUAACUGUAGAUAUAUAAGCACUUAAAGAAAAAAAAUCAUGAAUUAAUGUAGAUGUGUCAUUAGAUGAAAAUGCAGUCCUUUUUAUGUCGUAAAAUUGCAUAUUCUGAAGGCAGACACAAAUGUACACAAAUACACAUUUUAUAUAUACUCUAUAUUGAAGAAAGAAUUUAAGAAAUGUUGGUGAAAAGGUUAUUGAGCUCUCAUCUAUUGAUCCUGAUGCUUCAAAGAGUAAUUUAAGAUCUAGAAAUAUCUAUAUUUGUUUUCUGAGAGGUUUUUAUGAUCCAUCAUGAUGCCAAUGUGAACAAUUCUACAUCAAUGCAUAAAAAUAAACAAAGUGACUUUUAAAAAACAAAAUAAAGUGCUGGAAUUAAUUGAUCAAAAUUGAAAUUUAAUGAUACUGAUGUGAUUGCUAAAAGCCCACUGGCACUGACACUGUGUCCCCCUCUGUGCAGGAGGCAUAGCCCCCCAUAUAUUUACUUUUUUUUCUAAUUAAGCUACAACUUUGCACAAAUGAAAUUCAUAUUACCUCAGGGACCAAACACCUGACAGCCU